GUUCCCAAUGAUGCCUUUUUAAAACCAUGCUAAUGCUGAUAAAAGAUGAUUGAUUUUUUCAGUUUAUUAUAUACUGAGGGAACU